UACAGAGGUGGCAAGCGUUGUUCGGAAUUAUUGGGCGUAAAGAGCUUGUAGGCGGUUUGUCGCGUCUGCCGUGAAAAUCCGAGGCUCAACCUCGGACUUGCGGUGGGUACGGGCAGACUAGAGUGUGGUAGGGGAGACUGGAAUUCCUGGUGUAGCGGUGAAAUGCGCAGAUAUCAGGAGGAACACCGAUGGCGAAGGCAGGUCUCUGGGCCACUACUGACGCUGAGAAGCGAAAGCAUGGGGAGCGAACAGG
rnacentral:rRNA from 1 species